rnacentral:rRNA from 1 species
GACGUAGGGGGCGAGCGUUGUCCGGAAUCAUUGGGCGUAAAGAGCUCGUAGGCGGCUCAGUAAGUCGGGUGUGAAACCCCCAGGCUCAACCUGGGGACGCCACCCGAUACUGCUGUGGCUAGAGUCCAGUAGGGGAGUGUGGAAUUCCCGGUGUAGCGGUGAAAUGCGCAGAUAUCGGGAGGAACACCAGCGGCGAAGGCGGCACUCUGGGCCGGUACUGACGCUGAGGAGCGAAAGCGUGGGGAGCAAACAGG